rnacentral:lncRNA from 1 species
AUCAUCAUCCCAUUUUCUACAGGGAGAAGGUGAGACUUCGGGUGAAGAGGUGGCUCGCCCAGAGGCACAGUCAACAGAUGAUGAAGCCAGGACAGGAACCUGCAAUCUGGCUCCUGCUAGUAGGAAUUUACCCUACGGAUACUUGCGGUGGAAUCACAAGAGGUAUGUCCAGGGAUGCUCAUCAUAGCAUCAUCUGCGAUGGCAAAAAUGCUGAAGACGACCUAUUAAGUCCAUACACAGGGCAGUGGUUAAAACAUGGAACUUUGUGCACUAGAAAUCUCUGCAGAUAGUCGACAGAAGGAAUCAGAUGUAAAUGUGCUGAUACAAAAAGAUAACCUUUUAGUUAGGAAAGUGUGCUAGUCUUAAGUACACAGCUUGAGUAAUUUUUCCAUGUGUCUACACCCGUGUAACCAUCAAGAUCGAGAUGGAACAUUCCCGUCACUUGAGAGGGCUCCCUGUGCUCUUUAGAAUCAGUCACGCCCUCUCCCCACACAAAGGAACCAUUCUUCUGACUUUGGGGGCUGUUGAGUAGUUCUGCCUGUUCUUGAACUUCACAGAAAAGGAAUCACAUGGUGUGCGUUCUCUUAUACUUGGCUUCUUUCACUUAGCAUAAUGUUCUUGAAAUUCAUCCAUGUUAUGUAUACAUGAGUGCUUUGUUCCUUUUCAUUGCUAUGUAACAUUCUAUUAUAGGUUAUAACACAAUUUGUUAUUCAUUUACAUAUGGGACAUUUGGGUUGUUUCUACUUUUUGACUAAUAUAGUAAAGCUGCUCUGAACAUUCUUG